rnacentral:rRNA from 1 species
GAUGAACGCUGGCGGCGUGCUUAACACAUGCAAGUCGAACGGAAAGGCCCAAGCUUGCUUGGGUACUCGAGUGGCGAACGGGUGAGUAACACGUGGGUGAUCUGCCCUGCACUUCGGGAUAAGCCUGGGAAACUGGGUCUAAUACCGGAUAGGACGAUGGUUUGGAUGCCAUUGUGGAAAGUUUUUUCGGUGUGGGAUGAGCUCGCGGCCUAUCAGCUUGUUGGUGGGGUAAUGGCCCACCAAGGCGUCGACGGGUAGCCGGCCUGAGAGGGUGUACGGCCACAUUGGGACUGAGAUACGGCCCAGACUCCUACGGGAGGCAGCAGUGGGGAAUAUUGCGCAAUGGGCGCAAGCCUGAUGCAGCGACGCCGCGUGGGGGAUGACGGCCUUCGGGUUGUAAACUCCUUUCGCUAGGGACGAAGCGUUUUUGUGACGGUACCUGGAGAAGAAGCACCGGCUAACUACGUG